UCCAAGACUUGUGAGAGUCAAGAAAAACAUAUUAAGAAGUUGUAUUCAUAUCCGUACCUUCUGGAAGGUUUGUACCGAGUUUGACCCUAAUGAAAACUGGGAACUUUUCAGUUCUGAAAAGAGCAGAGGUUUAAGAUCCACAGCUGCCGCAUGGGAGGCCCGCCGCAUGGGAGGCCCGCCAAACGGGAGGCUGUGGCAUGCAGUGAAGAAAGUGCUUUCAGGGUAAUGGUUAAAACCUUCAUGAACAACUUGAUAGGAUUCAGAAUCACCCAGAUAUGACUGGAAAAUCCAUACUUGUGGCUUAAUAUUCGAGAAAGGAUCUGACACACAGUGGGGCUAACACAUAUUUGAACACUGUGAGACUCUGGUGACCAAGAAGAUGGGUCUCUGCUCUUUCAGCACUCACAGGGCGGUGGGGGUGUAGGGGCGGGGCAGGCAGGUGGCUCUGGGAUGUAAAAGGACCUCAUAAUAAUGAAGAAAGGACAAGAGCCAGGCUGGAGAGUAAGCAUAAAAGGAGUAAACUGAGGGCCACUUAGCACAAAGGACAACGGCAGAAGCUCUAACAAACUCAGUAUGCUCAGGAAAGAAACAGAUAUUCCAUGAUUUCUCAUUACA